GUCGUGUCUCUCUUCACUUACGUUACCACUGCACCGCAUCGCUCGUUCCUCGUGGUUCCUUCCUUUGUGUCUCUCUCUCUUCGGACACAAAGCAACACUUUCCAUUUCCAUGUCUCUGUCUCUUCUUCGUAUCUACUCUUCCCCCCACCUUCUUUCCUCCUCUCUCUUCUUUCCAACCCCACCUCUCUCUUCUUUCCUUCCCAAAUUACCAAAUGCCCCCCGCACUCCCCACAUUGUUUUAUGCCACCGUAGGGACGCCUCCUCAGCUUCGAAGCAGCGAGUCCCAGAAGAUACAGAAUACGAACAACCCAUGAGGACCAGUUACGACGACGACGAAGAAGAAGAAGAGGAAUUUCUUGGCUCCUUAGUUUUGCCUGAAAGAUGGGAUGUACUGGGUCUCGGUCAAGCCAUGGUAGAUUUCUCUGGCAUGGUUGAUGAUAAUUUCCUCAAGAAUUUGGGAUUAGAGAAGGGAACACGGAAAGUAGUAAAUCAUGAGGAAAGAGGUAGAGUUUUGCAGGCUAUGGAUGGGUGCAGCUAUAAAGCUGCAGCUGGAGGAUCUCUUUCUAAUACCUUAGUGGCCCUCGCAAGGCUUGCUAGUCGCUCCCAAAAAGUUCCCGCUAUAAAUGUCGCAAUGACCGGUAGUGUAGGGAGUGAUCUAUUGGGGGGCUUCUACAGGGAGAAAUUACGCCGAGCAAAUGUGCAAUUUCUUUCUGCACCAAUGAAGGAUGGGACAACUGGAACAGUUAUAGUCCUCACAACUCCAGAUGCCCAGCGCACAAUGCUUGCAUAUCAGGGCACAUCUUCAACUGUUAACUAUGAUGCAUCCUUGGCUAGUGCAGUUUCCAAGACCAACAUACUUGUUGUCGAAGGAUAUCUAUUUGAACUUCCUGAUACGAUUAAAGCAAUAACCAAAGCAUGUGAGAAAGCACGGACAAAUGGUGCCUUGGUUGCAAUAACAGCUUCAGAUGUCUCCUGCAUUGAGAGACACUUUGAUGAUUUCUGAACAUAUCCACUUCCAAUUGAGUCCUGGUUGCACAACAGCUAACCAGGCUGUGUGGAGGAGUGAAGGGGAAUGAAAGGCAAUUUGGCAGAUUGCCUCAUCAAACCUGUAGGAACAACCACUUAAGUGCUAUUAAUCAAAGGAAAUUAUUGGGAAUUGUGUGGAUUUAGUCUUUGCAAAUGGUGAUGAGGCCAGAGCUCUUUGUAAUUUUGAAGCAAAGGAAAGUGCUGCUUCAGCUGCAAGGUAUCUGAGCCACUUUGUUCCUCUAGCAUCCGUUACAGAUGGUCCUACAGGCUCUUACAUAGGUGUAAAAGGAGAAGCUGUAUAUAUCCCUCCUUCUCCAUGUGUUCCAGUUGAUACUUGUGGUGCUGGGGAUGCAUAUGCAUCUGGCAUACUCUAUGGUCUUUUAAGAGGCAUAUCAGAUUUGAGAAGCAUAGGCUCAUUAGCCGCUAAGGUUGCUGCCACUGUUGUUGGACAACAGGGAACUCGGCUUAGAAUUUCAGAUGCAGUCAAAUUGGCUGAAUCUUUUGAAUUUCAACUUGAUUCCUCCUCCUCUGUUGGCACUGAUCAUAAUAUUUCCAGCGUCUAAUCAGAGAUUGCACUUUGAAUUGAGUUGAAUUGAAUUACAAUUUUUUUCAUAAGAUCAAUGUAUUAUUUAAUAGUAUGUUUCAAAAGAAUAGCCUUGUAAAUACUCUCAUUGUAAAAAGAAUAGCUUUGCUAGCAAUUCAAUUGCUUAGGCCUACGUCCUGUUUUCAUCAUGGUUACUAUUAUGCGAGCUACAUUGGUAUAUUGUAUCAUCAUCGUCAUAAUUAUUGUGAGAAGUACAUACAUAUCUUGUAUCAUCAUGAGACGAACAUUGAUAUUGACAGAUGGAUACUAACCUAAAGUUGGUUA